rnacentral:lncRNA from 1 species
UCAAUUAACAAUCAACAAUGCCAACAGAGUUCAGAGCUAGAUUUGCUAUUCCACUAUAAAGUCCGCCUAAUUGAAAUAAUAUUACACCCCUACAUUGCCUCAAUCCUCAUACUAGAAACAAGGGACAGAUGGAAAAUAUUAAGAUAUUUUAAUGCUUAACCAAUAAGGCCGAUGAAUAUCAACUCAAUUAACAGUCAAUAAUGCCAACAGAGUUCAGAGCUAGAUUUGAUAUUCCACUAUAAAGUCCGCCAAAUUGAAAUAAUGUUACACCCCUACAUUGCCCCAAUCCUCAUACUAGAAACAAGGGACAGAUGGAAAAUAUUAAGAUAUUUUAAUGCUUAACCAAUAAGGCCGAUGAAUAUUAAACUAAUUUGUUUAGUAAAUUCAAGAUUGUAUCAAUUCACCCUGAGUAAAGCGUUCAUCAUAUACUUAGAAGACAAAAAUGAGAAAUUUCACUGUCAUUAACUACACAAUUCAAACUUGGUGCAGCAGGGGUCUUUUGGUAUGGAUACCAAAAUUUAUAAAAGCCAAAUAACAUGUAAACGGGCAAUAUUGCAACAAGAACGAAAACUGCAAUAUGCAUUAAUCAGCUAAUAAUACAUAGGCAAAAACCUUAUCUUCUCAAUAUAUGAUGUUCAUAUACAGUCUCAGCGCAUCACUCAAGUGACACAAAAUAUACAAACCUUCUAUGACAGAUCAAGUCAAAUAGCAAGGUAUUAGCGGUUGCCUAUAUACUAGAGUGUCUUCAAAUAGACUGAAUUCAAUAUUGUAAAAGAUGCAUCAUAAAAUACUAAGUCAUGUAGCAAAUGUUACAGCAGCAAUACACAUCACAAGGUAAAAUGAAUAUUCUUAACAGAUUGAUGCAUUCAUCUACAAAACUGAUGAUGCUUUUUUAAAUAAAUAAAUAAGAAAGACCAAUGAUAGCGAGGGCAUAAAAAAAAUGAAAGAGCAGAAAAAUUGCACACAAUCAUUUUCAAAUAGAUCUAAACAAUAUCUAGAUUUACGCGUCAAAGUUAUCGGUAAAACCAAACACAUAGACAUAGUCGAAUAACUCAGAAUUACGCGACUACAAUAUGCACCAAUCACGAAAGUAUAUUCUUGUAUAUAAUCCUACAUAUAUACAAAUAUAUAUUAUGUUAUCUAGUUAGACACACGCAAGUNNNNN